rnacentral:rRNA from 1 species
UUAUGGUGGGCACUCUAAGGAGACUGCCGGUGACAAACCGGAGGAAGGUGGGGAUGACGUCAAGUCAUCAUGGCCCUUACGGCCUGGGCUACACACGUGCUACAAUGGUCGGUACAGAGGGUUGCCAAGCCGCGAGGUGGAGCUAAUCUCACAAAACCGAUCGUAGUCCGGAUCGCAGUCUGCAACUCGACUGCGUGAAGUCGGAAUCGCUAGUAAUCGCGAAUCAGAAUGUCGCGGUGAAUACGUUCCCGGGCCUUGUACACACCGCCCGUCACACCAUGGGAGUGGGUUGCACCAGAAGUAGCUAGUCUAACCUUCGGGAGGACGGUUACCACGGUGUGAUUCAUGACUGGGGUGAAGUCGUAACAAGGUAGCCGUAGGGGAACCUGCGGCUGGAUCACCUCCUUA